AUAUAAAGUUGUUGCGGUUAAAAAGCUCGUAGUUGGAUCUCAGUUCCGGAUCGACGGUUCGCCUCUGGUGAUUUACUGUCGGUCCGAACAGCUCGUCGGCUCGCUCGGGGUGCUCUUCACCGAGUGUCCCGCGUGGCCGGCACGUUUACUUUGAAAAAAUUAGAGUGCUCAGAGCAGGCUUACCGCCUGAAUAGUUGUGCAUGGAAUAAUGGAAUAGGACCUCGGUUCUAUUUUGUUGGUUUUCGGAACCCGAGGUAAUGAUAAAUAGAGACGGACGGGGGCAUUCGUAUUGCGACGCUAGAGGUGAAAUUCUUGGACCGUCGCAAGACGAACUACUGUGAAAGCAUUUGCCAAGAACGUUCUUAUUAAUCAAGAACGAAAGUUAGAGGUUCGAAGGCGAUCAGAUACCGCCCUAGUUCUAACCAUAAACGAUGCUGACUAGCGAUCCGUCUGUGUUAAUCCCAUGACUAGACGGGCAGCUUCCGGGAAACCAAAGUCUUUGAGUUCCGGGGGAAGUAUGGUUGCAAAGCUGAAACUUAAAGGAAUUGACGGAAGGGCACCACCAGGAGUGGAGCCUGCGGCUUAAUUUGACUCAACACGGGGAACCUCACCAGGCCCGGACACCGGAAGGAUUGACAGAUUGAGAGCUCUUUCUUGAUUCGGUGGGUGGUGGUGCAUGGCCGUUCUUAGUUGGUGGAGCGAUUUGUCUGGUUAAUUCCGAUAACGAACGAGACUUUAGCCUACUAACUAGUCGGAGGGUCUAAUACAAGUGCCCUCCGCAGCUUCUUAGAGGGAUAAGCGGCAUCUA
rnacentral:rRNA from 1 species